UGUCGCCAUCUCCUCCGCCAGCACCCAGUCCCGGCCGCCGAUUGGCGCCACCAUGACGCUGCUCGUCUCCGCGUACUCCUGAUUUCGCGGCUAACCUAAGACGCCCAAUGCCUCCACCUGGCCGAAAAGAAGCCGUCCGCUCCAAGGUGCUCGGCGGGGAUUCGUUCGGGCACUCAUUCAUCUCCAACCGGAAGAGCUGGAGAGUACAAGGUGCGUGCCGUGGCCGAGGUGUGCUCUGGCUGUAUGUGCUGCGGUGGUGAAGCUUGCUGCUGCAGUAAGGGAACCACAUGCGAGUGAGCUCGAGGGCACCUAAGUGCAAUUUUUUUACCGAUGACUCUUGGCGUUGGAUUCGCCAUGGUUUAUCCACUAAUGGUUGCUUUGUUUUCUUCGUUAUUGUGAUACUGCUUGUCUGCUUGCAUGGAGGCAAUUCGAAGGACAUCUAUUGUCUAUGACUCUAUGUGCCAAGUUCAUAGUCUGAACCGAAAUGUCAUUCUUAUUUUAUCAUGAUACUCUUCUUGUACAUUUCUCUAAUUAUUAAUCGCAUGGUGCUAUCUUUACAUGUUUGUGCUUGCACGGACUAAGCUAUCUCUCUACAGUUGUCAAAUCGAUCUUCAAAAUCUUUUCGUCUCAGCCUCUGCUUUUCUUGUAGAUCAUGCUUCAGAUAAGUGGUUAUGUUGACCAAGACACCAGGGGAAUGGUAAAUUUGCUUUCCAUGUUUUGGAGUUGGAUACCUGCGAGAUACCAAAACAAAAGGCAAGAUAUUCUUAAAAUUCUCAUGCCCUGACACAUGUAUUCUAAUUGGGGAUAUCAACACACAGUUCCACAUUUUUAAGGUAUAUUGGAUUUGGGGCAUUCCUGUAGAGGUUGAUGGCUCCAAAGUGUACGUCCUUUACCUGGACACUGAAGGAUGAUGAAGGAUUUGAAAGCAAUGGAAAAUCGAAUGUACUCCGUAUAUGAUGAUAGUAUGUGCUCAUGAUAUACAAACUGAACAACACGUUGAACAUGAAGGUCUUCUGGGAGAGGGAGAAACCCACAUCCUGAGUUAGAAAAAUAAAGUGCUGGAAAUUGUAUCUUCUUGGAAAAACGAUGAGGACGAGACCUACGGUGGCAAUCAACCUGAAAACACUACUGUUCAUUCGCUCUCUAUAACCUGAUGCAAUCUCCUGAGACAAAGGCACUUGGCUUUGCUGCAAGAUUUAGAUCUUCCUAUCUAUUUGCCUACGUAUUUGGUAUACUUUUCACCCUCUCACAUUUCCGCUUCCACAAAACAAAAUCUGAUGUUGAAUACUACAAUUUUCAAGGUAUCGGGAUGUACAAUACCCAGAUAUUGGUGCCACAGGAGGCCUAUCACAUUGGAUGUUCUUCCUAUGAUGCCAGACGGUUCUACACGCUUUGGACUUUUUUUAGCUAGGAUGUUCCUAGAUAGACUAGCAGCAUCACAAAUGCAUUUUCUUCAGCUAUACACACUUAUAACAAUCAAUAUGAAUAAAAGACGCUGCUAGAUAACCAUUCUAGGCGAAGCUGUUGGGAUCUAUUAGGAUUAUCAUCGACACUGAUUCAAAACUGUUGUGAAGAUCUAAAACUACAGCUUGUAUUUGGUUCUCCUGUUGGGAGGUCAUAGCUUGUAGGAGAGAGGAAAAUACAACGGCACAUGAUAUGGACAGUUAGGGAGCCAAGCAAACAUAAUAUAAUGUUUUAGUUUCUACCUGAUAAAUACCAUUGAUAUUAACAUUAUUACUGCAGAUCGUCAUUUUUAUGGUGCUUAAAAUUAGAGUUGCUGCUUGGUUUUUCCCUGGAU